GACGAACGCUGGCGGCGUGCUUAACACAUGCAAGUCGAACGGAAAGGCCCUGCUUUUGUGGGGUGCUCGAGUGGCGAACGGGUGAGUAACACGUGAGUAACCUGCCCUUGACUUUGGGAUAACUUCAGGAAACUGGGGCUAAUACCGGAUAGGAGCUCCUGCUGCAUGGUGGGGGUUGGAAAGUUUCGGCGGUUGGGGAUGGACUCGCGGCUUAUCAGCUUGUUGGUGGGGGAGUGGCUUACCAAGGCUUUGACGGGUAGCCGGCCUGAGGGGGUGACCGGCCACAUUGGGACUGGGUUACGGCCCGAACUCCUACGGGAGGCAGCGGUGGGGAUUAUUGCACAAUGGUCGGAAGCCUAAUGCAGCACCGCCUCGUGCGGGAUGACGGCCUUCGGUUUGUAAACCGCUUUCGCCUGUGACGAGGCGUGUGUGACGGUAAUGGGUAAAGAAGCACCGGCUAACUACGUG
rnacentral:rRNA from 1 species